AUUGAACGCUGGCGGCAGGCCUAACACAUGCAAGUCGAGCGGAUGAAGGGAGCUUGCUCCUGGAUUCAGCGGCGGACGGGUGAGUAAUGCAUAGGAAUCUGCCUGGUAGUGGGGGAUAACGUCCGGAAACGGGCGCUAAUACCGCAUACGUCCUGAGGGAGAAAGUGGGGGAUCUUCGGACCUCACGCUACCAGAUGAGCCUAGGUCGGAUUAGCUAGUUGGUGGGGUAAAGGCCUACCAAGGCGACGAUCCGUAACUGGUCUGAGAGGAUGAUCAGUCACACUGGAACUGAGACACGGUCCAGACUCCUACGGGAGGCAGCAGUGGGGAAUAUUGGACAAUGGGCGAAAGCCUGAUCCAGCCAUGCCGCGUGUGUGAAGAAGGUCUUCGGAUUGUAAAGCACUUUAAGUUGGGAGGAAGGGCAGUAAGUUAAUACCUUGCUGUUUUGACGUUACCAACAGAAUAAGCACCGGCUAACUUCGUG
rnacentral:rRNA from 1 species